GAUUUUUAUGUCUGAAUUUUAUUUUUUUGUGUGUUCAAAGUUCACCGUGUUCAAAAUACAUAGAAAGGCGAGAUGGCUGAUGGGACUUUCGCUGGUGACGUCACCGGUCGGCCAUCUUACCAAGGGGGACUUUUCCGGAGCGCUCUAUAGUAGUGGAUGGAGGUGCAAGAUGCCACACUUUUGUGCAGCACAUGGAUGCUCAAAUGAACGUUCCUUCAAAACAAGAGCCCGUGGAAUCACCUUUCACUCGUUUCCCCAAAACACAGAGAAGAGGAGGCAAUGGGAACUUGCUCUAAGAAGGGACGGUUUUGUUGCAUCAAAAAACUGCAAACUGUGCAGCGAACAUUUCAGGAGUGAGGAUUUUGACAGGACAGGGCAGACUGUCCGGCUUAAGGCUGGUGUUGUGCCAACCAUUUUCAACUUCCCUGCUCAUCUCCAAAGGCCGGUAGCAACAAGAAGCACUGCUGCCUCUAGAAGAGCAGAAGAAAACCUGCCCAUGGACCUGCACCAGGAUGAACCUCCACCUGAUGUUCCUCAGGCAACCACUGAAGAGAGGAGAAAGAGCCUGAAGAGGAAGGCCCCUGACCACCUGUAUGCAUUGCCUUCCUGCCCCAAGGCUGUAAAGGCCAAGCUCAAUGCAGCCUUGGCAACAGUGUGGAAACUGCAGCAGGAGAAGAGCAAUGCCUUGGCGAGGGAGAGGAGGGCAAAGAAAAACAUGCAUGCUCUGCAUGGUUUAGAGUGACUGUUUAUUUGGAGUGAAUGUUGAAUGGUUUAGUGUUACUGUUGGUUUGGAGUAAAUCUUGAAUUGUUUUGUAAUUUUGCGCACCUGUUAAUAAAAGAAACUUUGAUGUCAUGUUACUGAAUGUGUUUAUUUAAAAAUGUAUAAUAAAACAUAUGUAGGGGAGAACAGGUAAGAUGAACGAACCAUACCCUUGAUCUUUAAAACUAUACACGUGAGUUGUCACGAGACCCUAAAAUAAGAACACAAACAUUUCCAACUGGCUGUGGAAUUCACUUUUGUGGUAUAAUUAUUUUUAUGCUAAAGCAAAUGGACCCAAGUCUAAACUUAUACAUUCUGCAUGUUAGUGAUAUUCAAUGUAUAGAACUAUGUCAAUCAUUUAGCAAAAGAUCAUUCUGAAUUAUUAAAUUAAUUAGGUUUUAUCAAAAUGAUGGCCAUGGGGCAAGAUGAACCAAAAGCCUUGGGGUAAAUUGAACCAAUAUGAAUCACAAUUCAUAUAUUGUACAUACAUUAUUUGUUCAGUUUAAGUUUAAAAUAUCAUGUGGGUCAACUUACCCCUUUAUAUUUAAUAUAUAUAUUAAUUAGAAAUAUAAAAUAUCAAACUAUUAAAUGUUUAACAUAAACACUGACGAUUUAAUUUUACUGUGUGUAUGUGUGCAGCUAUGGCAGGUAAUGCUCUUCUAUCUACUUUUUUAAUUUAAUAUAAAAGUCCAUGGUUAUAAUUAUCCGUAAAUAUGCAAUAACAUAACUACAUCUCUUGCGUUUAUAACAAAUCAAAUCGUUUAAAGAUCGGUUGACUAGGGACGCUUGGAGAGAAGAGCUGGGUUUGGACUUGCCUGAGUCCAUGUGGACCAAAUGUUUAUCCCGGAUUCAUUCUUGUUCUGUAAACAGUAGACAUCAAUUAAUUCAAUUUAAGGUUGUCCACCGCUUGCAUUAUUCCAAAGCCAGAUUGCACAAAAUCUAUCCUUCAGUUUCCCCAGUGUGUGACAGGUGUAAUGUGUCAGAAGGUACUUUGUCUCAUGCUUUUUGAUCCUGCCCCUCACUAACAGGCUUCUGGUCAAAAAUAUUCGACUGGAACUCCAAAGCAUAUAAAACUCCACUCCAGCCAGACCCUGGACUAGUCAUCUUUGGCUGCUCACAAUCAACGAAGACUAUUCCUGCUACAAUGCGAAAAUCACUGGAACUGGGACUGAUUGUUGCGAAAAAAUUAAUAUUGAAAGAAUGGAAGUCUCCCCUUCCUCCCUCUUUCCAACUAUGGGUCACGGACAUGUUAUUUCUACUACAAAUGGAAAGACUCCGCAGUGGCUCAACAAACACUUUUACUAACUUGUGGAAUCCAUUUCUGGCACAUUUUGAAAAGGCCAAGAUACAAUGACUUUAAACUGAGUCCCUGUUCCUACAUUUUCUUUUUAUUCAUUCACUUCUUUAUUGAUUUAUCCUGCCUCCUCUCUGUGCUCUGCACUUAUCUGUACUGGACUGGUGGUAUGUUACGCAUCUGAGCCUUGUUCUGUUUGGUCUUGUUUAAAAUAAUGAAAAAUGAAAAUAAAAUAUUUUUUAAAAAAUCGGUUGAAAAUUGAGCAAGCUAUGGUUAAUUAAAUAGUACAUGCUCCAUAGGCAUUAAUGUUAUCAGUGAGCCAGCAGCCCCUAGGUAAGAUAGCAGCCGCGUAGCGACGUCAGCCCUCAUUGGCUCACAGCGUCUGUAAGCUAUCUAGCCUUUCUAUGUAUAGGAGUGUUUCAGAUGACGUCAUACUUCCGGGCUAUUAACUGGUCCGCCAUAUUGUGUGGUGCGUGUUGUAGUCAGGAGUUAGUGAGCAAGAGAAAUAGUUUGAAGUGUGACUGGGGACAACAAUGGUUCACUUCUGUUGUGUCCACGGCUGCCGCAACAAGGCAAAAGGCGCAGUUAAACGGAGCUUCUUUAGAAUUCCCACAAUAAGGCUUACCGAGGGUGAACAGACAAGGGAACUCAGCCGGCUGAGGCACCACACUUGGCUUACCAGGAUCAAUAGGAAAGACUUCAUUCCUUCUCCUCACACAAGGAUUUGCUCCGAUCACUUCACGACUGGGCGUCCGAGCAAUCUAUAUGAUGAGGAGGACAUAGACUGGGCUCCGACGAUGAAACUUGGCCACGAGAAAGUGAAACAGCCGACUGCAGAGACGCUGGAGCGAAAUGAGCGAUUGCACACUCGAGACGAAAAGAGGAAACGUUCAGAAGAUUGUCAGCGAAAAGCUGCCGAUUGACAACAUCCAUCGCCGAUUUAAGGACACUUUAAAACACUUCAGGCACCAAGAGGUGAAGACGAGCACAUACUGGUCGAGCUUCUGUGGUCCCACUCAGGUCAUCUACCAGAGAGUUACGGCACGUUGUUUCAUCUGUCAACCACGGUGUCAGAGUCCAUGUCGUUCAGCAGGCAUGAAUCCUGUUCCAUGUCUAUUUUCCCCACCUUGACCAGCGCUGAGUGCAGGUAGAUGUUGUGAGGCAUGAUGACAGCUCCUACGAUUCCCACUGCCUGCUCCAGCUGCACAGGUCCACA